UACGGAGGGGGCUAGCGUUGUUCGGAAUUACUGGGCGUAAAGCGCACGUAGGCGGCUAUUCAAGUCAGAGGUGAAAGCCCGGGGCUCAACCCCGGAACUGCCAUUGAAACUGUUAGACUUGAGGAUGAGAGAGGUGAGUGGAAUUCCCAGUGUAGAGGUGAAAUUCGUAGAUAUUGGGAAGAACACCGGUGGCGAAGGCGGCUCACUGGCCCGGUACUGACGCUGAGGCACGAAAGCGUGGGGAGCAAACAGG
rnacentral:rRNA from 1 species